rnacentral:rRNA from 1 species
GUGAGGAAUAUUGGUCAAUGGGCGAGAGCCUGAACCAGCCAAGUCGCGUGAAGGAUGAAGGUUUUAUGAAUUGUAAACUUCUUUUGCAGGGGAAUAAAGUACGGUACGUGUACCGUUUUGUAUGUACUCUGCGAAUAAGGAUCGGCUAACUCCGUGCCAGCAGCCGCGGUAAUACGGAGGAUCCAAGCGUUAUCCGGAUUUAUUGGGUUUAAAGGGUGCGCAGGCGGGUUGAUAAGUCAGCGGUGAAAGUUUGCAGCUUAACUGUAAAAUUGCCGUUGAAACUGUCGAUCUUGAGUGCAAAUGAGGUAAGCGGAAUGUGUUGUGUAGCGGUGAAAUGCUUAGAUAUAACACAGAACACGGAUUGCGAAGGCAGCUUACUGGGAUGCAACUGACGCUCAUGCACGAAAGCGUGGGGAUCAAACAGGAUUAGAAACCCCGGUAGUCC